GAGUUUGAUCCUGGCUCAGAACGAACGCUGGCGGCGUACCUAACACAUGCAAGUCGAACGUGAUCCAGAGCUUGCUCUGGUGAAAGUGACGCACGGGCGAGUAACGCGUGGAUAACCUACCCUGGUAUCCGGGAUAACAUUCCGAAAGGGGUGCUAAUACCGGAUAAGCCCACGGGCUCUUUGGAGCUUGCGGGAAAAGGUGGCCUCUAUUUAUAAGCUACUGUAUCAGGAUGGGUCCGCGUACCAUUAGCUAGUUGGCGGUGUAACGGACCACCAAGGCGACGAUGGUUAGCUGGUCUGAGAGGAUGAUCAGCCACACUGGAACUGAGACACGGUCCAGACUCCUACGGGAGGCAGCAGUGGGGAAUUUUGCGCAAUGGGGGAAACCCUGACGCAGCAACGCCGCGUGAGUGAUGAAGGCCUUUGGGUCGUAAAGCUCUGUCAGAGGGGAAGAAAUGAUAUAGUGCUAAUACCACUUUAUCUUGACGGUACCCUCAAAGGAAGCACCGGCUAACUCCGUGCCAGCAGCCGCGGUAAUAC
rnacentral:rRNA from 1 species